CAGCAAGCGUUGUUCGGAAUUACUGGGCGUAAAGAGUGUGUAGGCGGUUUUCUAAGUUUGUCGUGAAAUCUCCCGGCUUAACUGGGAGGGUGCGGCGAAAACUGGAAUGCUAGAGGAUGGGAGAGGUAAGCGGAAUUCCUGGUGUAGCGGUGAAAUGCGUAGAUAUCAGGAGGAACACCUGUGGUGUAGACAGCUUACUGGACCAUUUCUGACGCUGAGACACGAAAGCGUGGGUAGCAAACAGG
rnacentral:rRNA from 1 species